rnacentral:lncRNA from 1 species
GCAGAUGCAAAUGAGACCUAGUUUAGCAACAGCAUAACUUUUUAACACAACUUUUUUUUUUUUUUCCAUACAGAAUUACAUUUUAAGGGCUGAAUGGAAACCACAUGAAGAAAGCAGAUAUAAAUGUCCUUAAUGCAAAUCUGCAAUACUGUUUUUGCUGACUUAUUUUCCCCCUGCUUUCAUGUCCAGCCAGAUUCUAGAUUAUGAAAAUAGAAGCAGCUGGUGGAUAGCAGAAGAGAUAUUCUAUGUGUGGCAGUUACGUCAUACC